rnacentral:rRNA from 1 species
UACGGGGGGGGCAAGCGUUGUUCGGAAUUACUGGGCGUAAAGGGCUCGUAGGCGGCCAACUAAGUCAGACGUGAAAUCCCUCGGCUUAACCGGGGAACUGCGUCUGAUACUGGAUGGCUUGAAUCCGGGAGAGGGAUGCAGAAUUCCAGGUGUAGCGGUGAAAUGCGUAGAUAUCUGGAGGAAUACCGGUGGCGAAGGCGGCAUCCUGGACCGAGAUUGACGCUGAGGAGCGAAAGCUAGGGGAGCAAACGGG